CAUCUGUAUCCGGUAAAAUACUCUUG
rnacentral:piRNA from 1 species